CCCUGUACCAGUCACAUACACUUAUUAACAUGCUAAAGCCACUGCAGUACUGCUAACAGUCUCAGCUCUCGUUCUCCAGGACACUUGAAGACCCUGGAUCUGGGCUGUCUCAUUGGCAUGGACUAGGCAACACCUGGUGUUCACUAAUGAGAGGCCACUGUUACCCUCUGAAGAUGGGAGAAGAAGCUUUGGUGAAAACCCCAACUACGUAACUCGAGGCCCCCCUAGGCUGCCUGGUUCUAAUGUGAUUACACAUAUAAAUGCAAUAAAUGGGGCAAAGUGGUA